AGUGAACGCUGGCGGUAGGCCUAACACAUGCAAGUCGAACGGCAGCACAGGAGAGCUUGCUCUCUGGGUGGCGAGUGGCGGACGGGUGAGGAAUACAUCGGAAUCUACUCUGUCGUGGGGGAUAACGUAGGGAAACUUACGCUAAUACCGCAUACGACCUACGGGUGAAAGCAGGGGAUCUUCGGACCUUGCGCGAUUGAAUGAGCCGAUGUCGGAUUAGCUAGUUGGCGGGGUAAAGGCCCACCAAGGCGACGAUCCGUAGCUGGUCUGAGGAGGAUGAUCAGCCACACUGGAACUGAGACACGGUCCAGACUCCUACGGGAGGCAGCAGUGGGGAAUAUUGGACAAUGGUCGCAAGCCUGAUCCAGCCAUACCGCGUGGGUGAAGAAGGCCUUCGGGUUGUAAAGCCCUUUUGUUGGGAAAGAAAUCCAGCUGGCUAGUACCCGGUUGGGAUGACGGUACCCAAAGAAUAAGCACCGGCUAACUUCGUGCCAGCCGCCGCCGUAA
rnacentral:rRNA from 1 species